UACGGAGGGUGCGCGCGUUGUCCGGAUUUAUUGGGCUUAAAGGGUGCGUAGGGGGCUUAAUAAGUCAGUGGUGAAAUACAUCCGCUCAACGGAUGAGGUGCCAUUGAUACUGUUAAGCUUGAAACAAGUGGAGGCUGCCGGAAUGGAUGGUGUAGCGGUGAAAUGCAUAGAUAUCAUCCAGAACACCGAUUGCGAAGGCAGGUGGCUACGUUUGAUUUGACACUGAGGCACGAAAGCAUGGGGAGCAAACAGG
rnacentral:rRNA from 1 species